CCUGGCUCAGGAUGAACGCUAGCUACAGGCUUAACACAUGCAAGUCGAGGGGCAUCAGGAAGAAAGCUUGCUUUCUUUGCUGGCGACCGGCGCACGGGUGAGUAACACGUAUCCAACCUGCCCUUUACUCGGGGAUAGCCUUUCGAAAGAAAGAUUAAUACCCGAUAGUAUAAUGAUUCCGCAUGGUUUCAUUAUUAAAGGAUUCCGGUAAAGGAUGGGGAUGCGUUCCAUUAGGUUGUUGGUGAGGUAACGGCUCACCAAGCCUUCGAUGGAUAGGGGUUCUGAGAGGAAGGUCCCCCACAUUGGAACUGAGACACGGUCCAAACUCCUACGGGAGGCAGCAGUGAGGAAUAUUGGUCAAUGGGCGCUAGCCUGAACUAGCCAAGUAGCGUGAAGGAUGAAGGCUCUAUGGGUCGUAAACUUCUUUUAUAUAAGAAUAAAGUGCAGUAUGUAUACUGUUUUGUAUGUAUUAUAUGAAUAAGGAUCGGCUAACUCCGUGCCAGCAGCCGCGGUAAUACGGAGGAUCCGAGCGUUAUCCGGAUUUAUUGGGUUUAAAGGGAGCGUAGGUGGACUGGUAAGUCAGUUGUGAAAGUUUGCGGCUCAACCGUAAAAUUGCAGUUGAUACUGUCAGUCUUGAGUACAGUAGAGGUGGGCGGAAUUCGUGGUGUAGCGGUGAAAUGCUUAGAUAUCACGAAGAACUCCGAUUGCGAAGGCAGCUCACUGGACUGCAACUGACACUGAUGCUCGAAAGUGUGGGUAUCAAACAGGAUUAGAUACCCUGGUAGUCCACGCAGUAAACGAUGAAUACUCGCUGUUUGCGAUAUACAGUAAGCGGCCAAGCGAAAGCAUUAAGUAUUCCACCUGGGGAGUACGCCGGCAACGGUGAAACUCAAAGGAAUUGACGGGGGCCCGCACAAGCGGAGGAACAUGUGGUUUAAUUCGAUGAUACGCGAGGAACCUUACCCGGGCUUAAAUUGCAGUGGAAUGAUGUGGAAACAUGUCAGUGAGCAAUCACCGCUGUGAAGGUGCUGCAUGGUUGUCGUCAGCUCGUGCCGUGAGGUGUCGGCUUAAGUGCCAUAACGAGCGCAACCCUUAUCUUUAGUUACUAACAGGUCAUGCUGAGGACUCUAGAGAGACUGCCGUCGUAAGAUGUGAGGAAGGUGGGGAUGACGUCAAAUCAGCACGGCCCUUACGUCCGGGGCUACACACGUGUUACAAUGGGGGGUACAGAAGGCAGCUAGCGGGUGACCGUAUGCUAAUCCCAAAAGCCUCUCUCAGUUCGGAUCGAAGUCUGCAACCCGACUUCGUGAAGCUGGAUUCGCUAGUAAUCGCGCAUCAGCCACGGCGCGGUGAAUACGUUCCCGGGCCUUGUACACACCGCCC
rnacentral:rRNA from 1 species